rnacentral:lncRNA from 1 species
CGAAAUUAAGCAAAAGCAAAAAAUUAAAAGAGAAAUACAGAGAAACGAAAGAAAAUUUCAGGUCGUAGCUAAGGCAGUGAUGGGCCAGUGAAAAAUAUGAUUGCCGGCGAGAAGGGGUUAGCAACUAGCAGCAAAGCUUGCUCUUUGGAGAGAGAUGAGACUGAAUUUGACGAUGGUGGAGCUGGGUUUUUGAUAAUAAUGGAUGAUGAAUUGAGAUGAUUUAAUUGAUGAUGUAUUGAUGAACUUGGUCGUUGGGGAUGAAGAAGACGAAGAUUGAGGUGGUAGUCGCUAGGGAUGAGGGAGAUGAGGUUUGAGGUGGCCGCUGGGGAUGAGUGAGAUGAAGAUGGAGAUGAAGAUUGAGAGAUGGAGAUGAAGAUUGAGAGAUGAACUGAUAAAGAUUGAGGGAUUGUUUUGUUUUGCUUAUGUUCCCCCCUCCCCUCAACAAGGUGGCGGCUGGUGCAAUUGUUUUGUUUUGCUUUAAGGUUUUGCGGGUUUGUCUUGUUUGCUUUUAUUUUUUUUUCUUGCCCAAUUUAUUGUUUAAUGCUUAUAUAUUUUUUAGUUAGUAAUAAAAAUUAAUAAAUAAAUAAAUGGUAGUCCGGGUCCGGGUUCCGGAGAUCCGGGUUCACCUAAACCCGGACCCGACCCGGAAUAUAUCUGGGUUUGAAAAAUUACAACCCGGAUCCGCAUUGUUAAUGCAUCCGGU